AGGAAACAGAGAAAACCUAGAAAAUUGAAUUGUAUGUCACAGAAAUUGACUGGGAUUAAAAAUAUUAUCUAGAAGAAUCUCUUUCCCUCCAUGUUCCUAAUUUUUUCUACCAGUAACAAGCCCCUGACUAUCUCCAUUCAGAAUAUGUAACCACUAAUGAAGCAAAGAGAAGUCUCUAGGUUUAGAGAGAUGUAUGGAAAGGUUUCCACUGUGUCACAGGAGACACUCCUGGAAAGGGCACCCUCUAAUCUGGUCAAUGUAAGGAAAGCUGUUUAGCAGGUAGGACAAGGCAGUUCUCAGUCACAUCACCAUUAAGACCUCAACGAAAAAUCUCUUGUAACCUGGAGAGUAGUAGAUUCUUCUGUGAUGUCACAAGUGUUGUCGUGACAUUAACUGCCUCUCAGAUAUUCCUUAAGUACCUCUACCUCUAGGGUUUACUAAUUGGCCUAUAAUUCAAAGUAAACAGCCAUUUGUGAGAGAGAAGAUCAAGGAGGAGGGAUAGGGAGAAGGAAGCUGGCCUUCUGUCUUGGUAUAAAAAGAACAAAUAUGUGCUCCUUGGUAAAGCUCAGCUAUGGUGUUGUGAAGACAAGAUACCACAUGUGCAGCUGUGAAUAAGUCUGAGAAGGCUGACUUCUUGGAUUUCUGAAGCAUUACUAAGUGAUCCAGAGGAAAUCAGCACGCCCUGCUCAGCAGAGCUCUGGGAAUGCUGACACUCUUGCUUCAUGUUUAUAUUAACCUAGGUCAAAAGAUCACCUGUCAGACAUGAAGGCUCUGAAGCAAAGUUGCAUCCUGUUGAUCUGUGAAUAAGAUGAAGGAGGCUAUCAACUGGGUCACAUGAAGCAUAUGAAAAGCGUGACAGCAGCAGCUCUCUGGUCUCAGACCCCGUGAGAGAGAGACCCAACCGCCUGGUCAGGUGGGCACUCCUGAGGCUGCAGAGCAGAAGAGACCACCAGCGCUCACCCCUGCCCACAUCCCUGGCCCAAGAGGAAACUGUAUAAGGCCUCUGGGCUCCCGUGGAGGAGGGCCCAGGACCAGCAGGACCCCUGCCUGAGACACCCCGGAACCUGAAGGAAACAGACCUGAUAAACAGUUCUCUGCACCCAAAUCCCGUGGGAGGGAGAGCUAAACCUUCAGAGAGGCAGAAAAGCCUGGGAAACCAGAAGAGACUGCUCUCUGCACAC